AGCCCCUAGCGCAGACGGCGGAGAGCAGAGAGGGAGCGCGCCUUGGCUCGCUGGCCUUGGCGGCGGCUCCUCAGGAGAGCUGGGGCGCCCACGAGAGGAUCCCUCACCCGGGUCUCUCCUCAGGGAUGACAUCAUCCGUCCACCUCCUUGUCUUCAAGGACCACCUCCUCUCCAUGCUGAGCUGCUGCCAAGGGGCCUGCUGCCCAUCUACACCUCACGAGGGCACUAGGAGCACGGUUUCCUGGAUCCCACCAACAUACAAAGCAGCCACUCACUGACCCCCAGGACCAGGAUGGCAAAGGAUGAAGAGGACCGGAACUGACCAGCCAGCUGUCCCUCUUACCUAAAGACUUAAACCAAUGCCCUAGUGAGGGGGCAUUGGGCAUUAAGCCCUGACCUUUGCUAUGCUCAUACUUUGACUCUAUGAGUACUUUCCUAUAAGUCUUUGCUUGUGUUCACCUGCUAGCAAACUGGAGUGUUUCCCUCCCCAAGGGGGUGUCAGUCUUUGUCGACUGACUCUGUCAUCACCCUUAUGAUGUCCUGAAUGGAAGGAUCCCUUUGGGAAAUUCUCAGGAGGGGGACCUGGGCCAAGGGCUUGGCCAGCAUCCUGCUGGCAACUCCAAGGCCCUGGGUGGGCUUCUGGAAUGAGCAUGCUACUGAAUCACCAAAGGCACGCCCGACCUCUCUGAAGAUCUUCCUAUCCUUUUCUGGGGGAAUGGGGUCGAUGAGAGCAACCUCCUAGGGUUGUUGUGAGAAUUAAAUGAGAUAAAAGAGGCCUCAGGCAGGAUCUGGCAUAGAGGAGGUGAUCAGCAAAUGUUUGUUGAAAAGGUUUGACAGGUCAGUCCCUUCCCACCCCUCUUGCUUGUCUUACUUGUCUUAUUUAUUCUCCAACAGCACUCCAGGCAGCCCUUGUCCACGGGCUCUCCUUGCAUCAGGGCUAAUCUCGGGCCUUGUCGAAGGAAGAGGCUGCAGACGUUAAUGAGGUUAGCUGCUGGAUUCCAGUAUUCGUCGCAUAAGGAUCCUUCUUUGUCUGCGAAGGAAAAACACACUGAUUAUCAUAAUGAGGCACGUGGGCCGUGGCCCGGCUGGGUCGGCUGAAGAACUGCGGAUGGAAGCUGCGGAAGAGGCCCUGAUGGGGCCCACCAUCCCGGACCCAAGUCUUCUUCCUGGCGGGCCUCUCGUCUCCUUCCUGGUUUGGGCGGAAGCCAUCACCUGGAUGCCUACGUGGGAAGGGACCUCGAAUGUGGGACCCCAGCCCCUCUCCAGCUCGAAAUCCCUCCACAGCCACGGGGACACCCUGCACCUAUUCCCACGGGACAGGCUGGACCCAGAGACUCUGGACCCGGGGCCUCCCCUUGAGUAGAGACCCGCCCUCUGACUGAUGGACGCCGCUGACCUGGGGUCAGACCCGUGGGCUGGACCCCUGCCCACCCCGCAGGAACCCUGAGGCCUAGGGGAGCUGUUGAGCCUUCAGUGUCUGCAUGUGGGAAGUGGGCUCCUUCACCUACCUCACAGGGCUGUUGUGAGGGGCGCUGUGAUGCGGUUCCAAAGCACAGGGCUUGGCGCACCCCACUGUGCUCUCAAUAAAUGUGUUUCCUGUCUUAACAAAAAAAAAAAAAAA
rnacentral:lncRNA from 1 species